ensembl:lncRNA HULC hepatocellular carcinoma up-regulated long non-coding RNA
GGCACUGCCUAGGUGGGCCGGGCGGUGCGAGGGUCGCCUUUCAGCCUUUACCUCUACCCACUGAAAUGGAGUAGGUCGGUGAGCGCCGAUCUGCUGGAGAAUCUCAUUAUCCCAUCGGCGCUCUGCCUGCUCCUGGCCUCCAAGCCUCUGAAGCCCCUCGGGUUUCAGCUGCCGGCUACCCUCGAGCCCGUGGUGCCCACGAGAGAGGCGACUUUACGUCAGCGGCCCUGGGCUGAGAUUUGAGAACGCGACCAAGUGGAGAAUGUUGGAGCCAGAUUUUAAAAUCCUUGUCUUCCUUCUGCGUGCUACUUGAUCUAAAUGAGAUACGGCAAAGUCACAGAACCUGUUUUUAUGUUUUUGCCUGAUUCAUACGGGCUUCUCCGGUGAAGAUGGGCCUGAAGUAACGCUUGGGUUGCUUCUGACGUUAUAACUCAUCCUGUAGCUGCAGCAACCGUGGUCCUUGCAACCUCAUAAAAAUGUUGCCAGCAUUGUUUCGAUAGUGCUGCUUAAUUCUUGGAAGGCCUCUUUGCUUUCUUCCCUGAGGUUCUUCGGACUUCACACAUUCCAGCAGUAGCUCUCUCAGCUCCUGUCCUGCACAGCUUUGAAGUGCUGGAUACAGCAAGGCCCCAAUCUGCAAGCCAGGAAGAGUCGUCACGAGAACCAGACCAUGCAGGAACUCUGAUCGUGGACAUUUCAACCUCCAGAACUGUGAUCCAAAAUGCAUAUGUAUCUUUGGAAGAAACUCUGAAGUAAAGGCCGGAAUAUUCUUUGUUUAAAACAUUAAAAACAAAACAGACCAAAGCAUCAAGCAAGAAGUUUCCUGGCAAUAAACUAAGCACAGCAUUAUUUUUUAAGGAACACAAAUUAAGUGUUCAACCUGUGGCAAAUUUGUACUUUCUCCCUGAAUUAUGUUGUUAUCAAAGAAAAAAAUUGGGAAGCAUGGCAAAA